CUCUGGUCAGACUGAAUCAGAGCCGAGGACUCUUUGUCCCGCCCACAUUUAUCGGCUUCUGCUGUUUAUGGACGCUGCUACCGCUGCUGCUAACAACGUUAGCUUCCAAAAGUGGAGAUAAACUCUACAGCCUUGGUCUGGAUCAUUUGGAACAUCUAGUCUGAUGGGCUGAAAGCUACAGAGAACAUGAACAUCCAGCUGUGGUUGUCUGAACAGUCUUCUCUCCAUCACUGUGAGGAAGAGCAGCACUGAUGUUCUCCUCAUCCUUCCAAUAAUGCUGCAGAUUCAGCUCCUCUCUUCAGAAUACAACUUGUCUUGUGACUGUUCAGUUUUUACACUUCACUGUCAGCAACACAUUAUUUCAUCCAUUUAUUAUGUGUUUACACAUCUUUACAGUUCAUAAUUGUUAAAUAAUGCAGUUUUUAAAUGUGCAAUGAAGGAAAUAAUGAAGCUAUUGACCUGAAUGUGUUGAUGUUUUAAUGCUACAUAUCUGUUACAAAUAACAUGGACUUUUUAUAUUGUACAGGGUUUCUGCAGAUAUCAAUCAGUCAAAUUUAAUGCUUUUUAAUGCAAUUUUAUUGCUAUACUGUAAAAAUUUUAAUGCCACGACCAUGAACUCAAAUUACACGGGUUUGUUUGUUUUUUUGUAAAAGAUGAUUUUUAUAUGAAAACCCUACAUUUGACUAUUUCUGAAUCUGGGAACCACCCCUGAACACCAACGGGCUGCAGUCAUUCUCUGAAAUGCACGUUUUUGAGCCAUUUUUGCUGGAAUUUGUGUUUCCCCAUUUCCCAGCCUGGUCCAGCCUGCCGGCCACUUUAAAAACAUGCAGUUUUUAGAAAUUGUACCCAACCGGCUGGAACAAUUAUCUCAAUGCUUCGGCAUGUUUACGCAGAUGCACAUAUCUGACAAAUCGCAGUCUAUAAAUAUAUAUUAUUGUCAAUAAUUUCCUUGAAAACUGCAGAAAGAAAUUUUAAUGCCACCAUGAAUCAAAUUUAAUGAUUUUUAAUGCCAUUUAAGGCCUUAAUUUUUGCAAAAUCAAAUUAAUGACUAUUAAUGUCCUGCAGAAACCCUGUUGUAUUUCUGCUACAGCAGCAGAGAUGAAGUUAAAGGUGAUAAAUAGAAUCUGUGAAUACUAAGAACAGAGAAUAAUAAACUGCUGAAAGAGUU